AAGUCGUAACAAGGUUUCCGUAGGUGAACCUGCGGAAGGAUCAUUAAAGAGAAAGGGGCUUAAAAAACCCCGACCUCCAACCCUCUGUUGUUAAAACUACCUUUGUUGCUUUGGCGGGACCGCCCGGUCUUCCGAGCCGCCAGAUCCCCUCUGCGGGGGUCCCGGCGAGCGCCCGCCAGGGUCUAACUAAACUCUUGUUAUUUAAACCGGUCGUCUGAGUAAAAAUUUUUGAAUUAAAUCAAAACUUUCAACAACGGAUCUCUUGGUUCUC
rnacentral:misc_RNA from 1 species